CACGUAGGGGGCGAGCGUUGUCCGGAUUUAUUGGGCGUAAAGGGCUCGUAGGCGGUUCAGUAAGUCAGAUGUGAAAACUCGAGGCUCAACCUCGAGACGCCAUCUGAUACUGCUGUGACUAGAGUCCGGUAGAGGAGUGUGGAAUUCCUGGUGUAGCGGUGAAAUGCGCAGAUAUCAGGAGGAACACCAACGGCGAAGGCAGCACUCUGGGCCGGUACUGACGCUGAGGAGCGAAAGCAUGGGGAGCGAACAGG
rnacentral:rRNA from 1 species